UUUCCAGACUCCUACGGGAGGCAGCAGUGGGGAAUAUUGGGCAAUGGGCGCAAGCCUGACCCAGCAACGCCGCGUGAAGGAAGAAGGCUUUCGGGUUGUAAACUUCUUUUAAGAGGGAAGAGUAGAAGACGGUACCUCUUGAAUAAGCCACGGCUAACUACGUGCCAGCAGCCGCGGUAAUACGUAUGGAGCAAGCGUUAUCCGGAUUUACUGGGUGUAAAGGGAGCGCAGGCGGCCUUGCAAGUCUGAUGUGAAAGGCCGGGGCCCAACCCCGGGACUGCAUUGGAAACUGCGAGGCUGGAGUGUCGGAGAGGCAGGCGGAAUUCCUAGUGUAGCGGUGAAAUGCGUAGAUAUUAGGAGGAACACCAGUGGCGAAGGCGGCUUACUGGACAGUAACUGACGUUGAGGCUCGAAAGCGUGGGGAGCAAACAGGAUUAGAUACCCCGGUACG
rnacentral:rRNA from 1 species